rnacentral:rRNA from 1 species
CAAGUCGAGCGAACAGACGAGGAGCUUGCUCCUCUGACGUUAGCGGCGGACGGGUGAGUAACACGUGGAUAACCUACCUAUAAGACUGGGAUAACUUCGGGAAACCGGAGCUAAUACCGGAUAAUAUAUUGAACCGCAUGGUUCAAUAGUGAAAGACGGUUUUGCUGUCACUUAUAGAUGGAUCCGCGCCGCAUUAGCUAGUUGGUAAGGUAACGGCUUACCAAGGCAACGAUGCGUAGCCGACCUGAGAGGGUGAUCGGCCACACUGGAACUGAGACACGGUCCAGACUCCUACGGGAGGCAGCAGUAGGGAAUCUUCCGCAAUGGGCGAAAGCCUGACGGAGCAACGCCGCGUGAGUGAUGAAGGUCUUCGGAUCGUAAAACUCUGUUAUUAGGGAAGAACAAAUGUGUAAGUAACUAUGCACGUCUUGACGGUACCUAAUCAGAAAGCCACGGCUAACUACGUGCCAGCAGCCGCGGUAAUACGUAGGUGGCAAGCGUUAUCCGGAAUUAUUGGGCGUAAAGCGCGCGUAGGCGGUUUUUUAAGUCUGAUGUGAAAGCCCACGGCUCAACCGUGGAGGGUCAUUGGAAACUGGAAAACUUGAGUGCAGAAGAGGAAAGUGGAAUUCCAUGUGUAGCGGUGAAAUGCGCAGAGAUAUGGAGGAACACCAGUGGCGAAGGCGACUUUCUGGUCU